GGCCCGGCUCCUGUCUUCACAGAUGCUUCUGGUGGAUGCUCUUUAUCACCUGGGCCCUCUGCUAGACUGUGUUAUAUCUGUAGGUCUGCUCUCUAGAGAAAACUGUUAUGAAAUUGAAGCUGAACGAACGCCACCCAACAAAGUCCGAAAGCUUCUAGAGAUUGUUGACGCUCAGAUGGAUGAAAGUGGAGCCUCUAGUUUCAUGGAGUGUCUGAGAAAAUGCAAGAAACAUUACCCGCGUCUACGAACCUGGUUGACCUCAGAAGAAGGUUUGCUAUGACUAAAGUUGCGUUCUGUCUUAAAACAUAAAUGCAGUAGCAUGAUGUAAAUACUAAAACAUUUUGCGCUCUCAUAUUAGAUAAUUUCCAACCACCAGGCAUUACGCAAGGUCCAACAGGUAAGACAGUCUCAGCAUUUUCACUUUUACUUAAUGUAAAUGUCUCCCAGCCCUCACCAUUGUCCUGUCUCCAUGCAGAACAUCAACUACAGGCCCAGUUUAAUGUUUUGUGCUCACGCUUGGGCCUUUCUGUACUGCCGGUCUCCUUCGAUCUCUUCUCCAGAGGCAUUCUGACUCAGUUGGAGCUGGAGAAAAUCCAAGCAAUACUCAUCCCAACACAGCAAGCACAAACCCUGCUGUCCAUCUGCCUGAAGAAAGGAGAAAAAGCAUGCAAGAGCUUUUACACAGCGCUAAAGAAUGAAGACGAGCAGCUAGCUGAGGAACUUAAUGUGAACAGUUUGGUGGAAGACCUUAAUAAAGAACCUGAAGGCAGCAUUGUGCCGAUAGCAGUGGAGGAAACCCGAGGUCACUUGAGGGCUUUACCUCUGUCAGGAGGCCUGCAGCAGGUCAUGACUCGGCUAGGCUUGACUGUGGGGGAUGAGAUUAGGCUUAAUGUCUGUGAGGUUGGUGUGGCGGUAGGCUUGCCGCGUCGGACGGUCAGAGAGUAUUUUCUGGAAGGGGUUGGCAUUGAAGACUCAGCCCAGCUGGAGGCUCUAGUGUCCCUGUAUAUAGAGAAGACAAAGUACGCCGACAGACUACUGAGCAGAGUGGCAGAACUCAGCCCUCGGUGGGUUCAGCUUUCAGAGAGGGGGUGCCUGCUGUUGAAGUUGCUGCAAAAAGCCGAGACUCUUCUCCGCAGCGGUAUCCACAGUCACCGGCACAGCUGGGACCACCUUCACGAUCAGGACCACUUAUGCAGCUGGGACCACCUGUGUCCUGAUGACUGCACAGAUCAGCGC
rnacentral:lncRNA from 1 species